UACGUAGGAGGCAAGCGUUGUCCGGAAUUACUGGGCGUAAAGCGCGUGUAGGUGGUGGGACAAGUCUGCUGUGAAAGCGCCUGGCUUAACUCGGAAACUGCCGUUGAUACUAUCAUUCUUGAAUAUUGUGGAGGUAAGCGGAAUAUGUCAUGUAGCGGUGAAAUGCUUAGAUAUGACAUAGAACACCGAUAGCGAAGGCAGCUUGCUACACAAUUAUUGACACUGAGGCUCGAAAGCGUGGGGAGCGAACAGG
rnacentral:rRNA from 1 species